GACGAGGGGGGCAAGCGUUGUUCGGAAUUAUUGGGCGUAAAGGGCGCGUAGGCGGUUUGACAAGUCUGAUGUGAAAUCUCUGGGCUCAACCCAGAGUCUGCAUUAGAAACUGUCGGGCUUGAGUAUGGGAGAGGUGAGUGGAAUUUCCGGUGUAGCGGUGAAAUGCGUAGAUAUCGGAAGGAACACCUGUGGCGAAAGCGGCUCACUGGACCAUAACUGACGCUGAGGCGCGAAAGCUAGGGGAGCAAACAGG
rnacentral:rRNA from 1 species